UACGUAGGUGGCAAGCGUUGUCCGGAUUUAUUGGGCUUAAAGGGUGCGUAGGCGGCCCUGUAAGUCAGUGCUGAAAUAUCCCGGCUUAACCGGGAGGGUGGCAUUGAUACUGCGGGGCUAGAGUACAUGUGAGGUAGGCGGAAUUGACGGUGUAGCGGUGAAAUGCUUAGAUAUCGUCAAGAACACCUAUAGCGAAGGCAGCUUACUAGGCUGUAACUGACGCUGAGGCACGAAAGUGUGGGGAUCAAACAGG
rnacentral:rRNA from 1 species